rnacentral:lncRNA from 1 species
UAUCCUCAAUCUUGUUCUUGAAUUUCAUAUACUUGACUGCUCAAAACUUGACUUCCUUUUUUGGAGUGACGAUGAUGUCUCCGUUCAAACUUCAAUCUCCCAUUCUCUUUAAACCGUUGUCUAAGAGUGGAAUCAAUCACACAUUCAGGUGGCGGAAUUUGGUACCUCAAAGUAUCAUAACAAUAUGAAUAAUACAUGUAUUUUUCCCUAAAUCUUUUCAUGGCAAUAUGUUGUUUAGGUGUGAUAUUGUUGUAGCGAAGUGUUUCGAGUUGUUUGUCCAUUUGGGCACAGUUGUCUGUUAAAAGUUCCUGAAUUGGAUCCGAAAUACAACCAUGUAGAACGAGGUCAGUCAUCUCGGUCACGAAAGGGGCAUAUUUGUAAUUAACCUUAUAUUUUCCACCAUUGGUAGCCCAAGUUGAAGCAUCCCAUAUGGUGGCGUAUAAAGCCAUAGGUUUUGAAGGGAAAUCGCUUCCCAUUUCAUCGCUUUUUAAUAUCUCCCUUAUUGGAACCUCAUCGAUAUAGAAUCUGCACAUAUUCCAAAAAGACGAUUAUAAAAAAAUUAUUUUAUUGUUUAGCUAAAAACAUGAUUUAGAUAAUAGAUAUAUAUGUACUUGGUUAUUUAUCAAAUACACUUUUAAUGAUAAGACGUUAUUAUCACUUUAUAUUAAAUGGAAGCUAGCUAGCUAUAUAUAUAAUUGUCCAAAUGUUCACUGAAUUAGCGUUGAUGUAACUAUAACUUUAUCGCUGUCCUUUCUUUAUGACUCAAAUUUCUUCGAUUCCAAGUUUCAAAAUUUAACACGGAAUUGACCUUUUCAUGAUCAUAUUUUGACAUUUAUAUAUUCAAUAUAUGAAUUUGAAAAAACUUAUGAUUAAAGUUAAUAGUAAAGAUGAGAAAGAAGGUUAAUUACAUGAUUUUGGAAGAGGUCCAAAAGAUGGUAUAACGAUGGUAGGCUUUGGAAGGGUCAAACCACAAGGUGUAUCUUUCUUCUCUACCUCUGCUUGUGCUUCCAUUGCCGUAUAAAUUGGUUUGAAACCUCCAUGGCUUCCCUUUUAUAUUCCCUAAAAACUCGAAGUCAAGUUCAUCAUGCGUCUUCUCGAAUACAUCUCCAUUAGAAGUCUGCAUGUAUACCAAAAUUAUAUUAAAAUUUAUUAUAUAACCCAUAAACAAAUCAUACUGUCUGAAUUGUAUGAUUAAAGGGUGUAUUAGAUGAUCGAACACUCUACUCGAUCGAGUUCAAAAGUAAAUGAAAGUAAGAAAGUGAAGGGUUAAUCACGAUGAGUUACGUACAUAAAAUGCUACUACGAUUCCGGCUGUAUACUCAGAAGGUAGUUUGAUUCUAGCACUGAAUACUCCAUGGUUGUACAAGUCGGAAGAUCUAAACCCAGCACCUGAAAUCGUUUUUCAAAAGAUAUAGUUCAUACGAUAUACAAAUACUAUAUUGAGAGAGAGAGAGAGAGAGAGAGAGAGAGAGAGAGAGGAAGAAGAAUGGAUACCUGUGUAUUGGUUGAGGUGGAGAUGGACGGUGUUGUCAUCAUCGGAGCGGAGGAGAUUGGAGUCGCCACCAAAGAGUUGAGUGAAUCCUUUCUGGAAGGAAACUAUGUGUGGCAAAGGUGUGGUUGCGCCGCCGGAUAAGGGAUGGAGGAAGAGGAGGAGAAACGAUAUACAUACGGCGGGUUUAGAGAGAGAAUUGAGGAGUUGGUGUUUCAUUUUGAUGGAGUGUUU